GCUGCCGUGGUCUAAUGGUUAGGAUGGGAGACUGUGGAUCUCCAGGUCCGGGUUCGAUUCCCGGCGGCGGCC
rnacentral:tRNA from 1 species